UAGGGAAUCUUCGGCAAUGGACGAAAGUCUGACCGAGCAACGCCGCGUGAGUGAAGAAGGUUUUCGGAUCGUAAAACUCUGUUGUUAGAGAAGAACAAGGACGUUAGUAACUGAACGUCCCCUGACGGUAUCUAACCAGAAAGCCACGGCUAACUACGUGCCAGCAGCCGCGGUAAUACGUAGGUGGCAAGCGUUGUCCGGAUUUAUUGGGCGUAAAGCGAGCGCAGGCGGUUUCUUAAGUCUGAUGUGAAAGCCCCCGGCUCAACCGGGGAGGGUAAUGGGAAACUGGGAGACUUGAGUGCAGAAGAGGAGAGUGGAAUUCCAUGUGUAGCGGUGAAAUGCGUAGAUAUAUGGAGGAACACCAGUGGCGAAGGCGGCUCUCUGGUCUGUAACUGACGCUGAGGAUAGAAAGCGUGGGGAGCAAACAGG
rnacentral:rRNA from 1 species